AUAUCUCAACACAGACAGGGUUAACCCUGUUCUGAUGCUUGGAUGUUGAAGGCUUGCUGGCAAACCUUACUUGCUUGCUCCUUUUAAAUACAUUAGCAGAAACCAGUACAAAAGCUGGCUUCAGUUUGAUAAAUACUUAUCUGUAUAACUGUUGCCAGUGAAAGCUAGUGUUUCAGCUUCCAAUUGUCCAUGUAAUGGACUGUCUCUCGAGGCACACUUUGAC
rnacentral:misc_RNA from 1 species